AACGAACGCUGGCGGCAUGCCUAACACAUGCAAGUCGAACGAGACCUUCGGGUCUAGUGGCGCACGGGUGCGUAACGCGUGGGAACCUGCCCUUAGGUUCGGAAUAACUCCCCGAAAGGGGUGCUAAUACCGGAUAAUGUCUUCGGACCAAAGAUUUAUCGCCUUGGGAGGGGCCCGCGUUGGAUUAGCUAGUUGGUAGGGUAAAAGCCUACCAAGGCGACGAUCCAUAGCUGGUCUGAGAGGAUGAUCAGCCACACUGGGACUGAGACACGGCCCAGACUCCUACGGGAGGCAGCAGUGGGGAAUAUUGGACAAUGGGCGAAAGCCUGAUCCAGCAAUGCCGCGUGAGUGAUGAAGGCCUUAGGGUUGUAAAGCUCUUUUACCCGGGAUGAUAAUGACAGUACCGGGAGAAUAAGCUCCGGCUAACUCCGUG
rnacentral:rRNA from 1 species